rnacentral:rRNA from 1 species
AUUGAACGCUGGCGGCGUGCCUAAUACAUGCAAGUCGAACGCAGUGGGGACGGGUGAGUAACACGUGGGUAACCUCCCAUCAGAGGGGAUAACCCUUGGAAACAGGUGCUAAACCGAUACUGAUGGAUGGACCAGCGGUGCAUUGGCUAGUUGGUGAGGUAACGGCUCACAAAGGCCACGAUGCAUAGCCGACCUGAGAUGGUGAGUGCCCACACGGGGACUGAGACACGGCCCAGACUCCUACGUGAGGCAGCAGUAGGGAAGCUUCGGCAAUGGACGAAAGUCUGACCUAGAAACGCCGCGUGAGUGAAGAAGGUUUUCGGAUCGUAAAACUCUGUUGUUAGAGAAGCGGGAUCUAACCAGAAAGCCACGGCUAACUACGUGCCAGCAGCCGCGGUAAUAC